rnacentral:rRNA from 1 species
UCAAGUGAAGAAGCGCAUACGGUGGAUGCCUUGGCAGUCAGAGGCGAUGAAAGACGUGGUAGCCUGCGAUAAGCUUUGGGGAGUCGGCAAACAGACUGUGAUCCAGAGAUCUCUGAAUGGGGGAACCCACUCAGCAUAAGCUGAGUAUCUUGUACUGAAUACAUAGGUGCAAGAGGCGAACCAGGGGAACUGAAACAUCUAAGUACCCUGAGGAAAAGAAAUCAACCGAGAUUCCCUUAGUAGUGGCGAGCGAACGGGGACCAGCCCUUAAGUUGAUUUGAGAUUAGUGGAACGCUCUGGAAAGUGCGGCCAUAGUGGGUGAUAGCCCCGUACACGAAAAUCUCUUAUCAAUGAAAUCGAGUAGGACGGAGCACGAGAAACUUUGUCUGAAUAUGGGGGGACCAUCCUCCAAGGCUAAAUACUACUGACUGACCGAUAGUGAACCAGUACCGUGAGGGAAAGGCGAAAAGAACCCCGGAGAGGGGAGUGAAAUAGAACCUGAAACCGUAUGCGUACAAGCAGUGGGAGCCUACUUUGUUAGGUGACUGCGUACCUUUUGUAUAAUGGGUCAGCGACUUAUAUUCAGUGGCGAGCUUAACCGAAUAGGGGAGGCGUAGCGAAAGCGAGUCUUAAUAGGGCGUUUAGUCGCUGGGUAUAGACCCGAAACCGGGCGAUCUAUCCAUGGGCAGGUUGAAGGUUAGGUAACACUGACUGGAGGACCGAACCGACUACCGUUGAAAAGUUAGCGGAUGACCUGUGGAUCGGAGUGAAAGGCUAAUCAAGCUCGGAGAUAGCUGGUUCUCCUCGAAAGCUAUUUAGGUAGCGCCUCAUGUAUCACUGUAGGGGGUAGAGCACUGUUUCGGCUAGGGGGUCAUCCCGACUUACCAAACCGAUGCAAACUCCGAAUACCUACAAGUGCCGAGCAUGGGAGACACACGGCGGGUGCUAACGUCCGUCGUGAAAAGGGAAACAACCCAGACCGUCAGCUAAGGUCCCAAAGUCAUGGUUAAGUGGGAAACGAUGUGGGAAGGCUUAGACAGCUAGGAGGUUGGCUUAGAAGCAGCCACCCUUUAAAGAAAGCGUAAUAGCUCACUAGUCGAGUCGGCCUGCGCGGAAGAUGUAACGGGGCUCAAACCAUGCACCGAAGCUACGGGUAUCACCUUUUGGUGAUGCGGUAGAGGAGCGUUCUGUAAGCCUGUGAAGGUGAGUUGAGAAGCUUGCUGGAGGUAUCAGAAGUGCGAAUGCUGACAUGAGUAACGACAAUGCGAGUGAAAAACUCGCACGCCGAAAGACCAAGGUUUCCUGCGCAACGUUAAUCGACGCAGGGUUAGUCGGUCCCUAAGGCGAGGCUGAAAAGCGUAGUCGAUGGAAAACAGGUUAAUAUUCCUGUACUUCCAGUUAUUGCGAUGGAGGGACGGAGAAGGUUAGGCCAGCCUGGCGUUGGUUGUCCAGGUUUAAGGUGGUAGGCUGGAAUCUUAGGCAAAUCCGGGAUUUCAAGGCCGAGAGCUGAUGACGAGUUGCCUUUAGGCGACGAAGUGGUUGAUACCAUGCUUCCAAGAAAAGCUCCUAAGCUUCAGAUAACUGGGAACCGUACCCCAAACCGACACAGGUGGUUAGGUAGAGAAUACCAAGGCGCUUGAGAGAACUCGGGUGAAGGAACUAGGCAAAAUGGCACCGUAACUUCGGGAGAAGGUGCGCCGGCGAGGGUGAAGGACUUGCUCCGUAAGCUCAUGCCGGUCGAAGAUACCAGGCCGCUGCGACUGUUUAUUAAAAACACAGCACUCUGCAAACACGAAAGUGGACGUAUAGGGUGUGACGCCUGCCCGGUGCCGGAAGGUUAAUUGAUGGGGUUAGCGCAAGCGAAGCUCUUGAUCGAAGCCCCGGUAAACGGCGGCCGUAACUAUAACGGUCCUAAGGUAGCGAAAUUCCUUGUCGGGUAAGUUCCGACCUGCACGAAUGGCGUAACGAUGGCGGCGCUGUCUCCACCCGAGACUCAGUGAAAUUGAAAUCGCUGUGAAGAUGCAGUGUAUCCGCGGCUAGACGGAAAGACCCCGUGAACCUUUACUAUAGCUUUGCACUGGACUUUGAAUUUGCUUGUGUAGGAUAGGUGGGAGGCUUUGAAGUGGGGACGCCAGUUCUCAUGGAGCCAUCCUUGAAAUACCACCCUGGCAACUUUGAGGUUCUAACUCAGGUCCGUUAUCCGGAUCGAGGACAGUGUAUGGUGGGUAGUUUGACUGGGGCGGUCUCCUCCCAAAGAGUAACGGAGGAGUACGAAGGUGCGCUCAGACCGGUCGGAAAUCGGUCGUAGAGUAUAAAGGCAAAAGCGCGCUUGACUGCGAGACAAACACGUCGAGCAGGUACGAAAGUAGGUCUUAGUGAUCCGGUGGUUCUGAAUGGAAGGGCCAUCGCUCAACGGAUAAAAGGUACUCCGGGGAUAACAGGCUGAUACCGCCCAAGAGUUCAUAUCGACGGCGGUGUUUGGCACCUCGAUGUCGGCUCAUCACAUCCUGGGGC